UAAUAAAUAGCACUGUAUAUAACAUUGUAUUGUUGUGUACGCAACACAUGUCAAACGUGUAUUGUAUGUUGCCUAUUUUUAGUUUGAAUUUUCGAUGCAACAUGGCGACUGGGUUCCUCUUGUCCCCACUGUCUCUGUACAUUGAAAUAAUUUACUUUUGUAUGUACAAACAUAGGAUAAUUCCAUUAUACGAGAUCAAAUUUGGUGGGUUUGUGUAUUAUAAGAAGUCUGAUAAUAUUGUAAUGCCCUGCCGAGUAAACCUUAAACUAAGCACAUGGAAACAAGCUUAAUGUACAAAAGCAGGUAAUAAUGUAAUUAAAAUUAAUGAACAAGAACAUGUGUAAUGCACAAAACAACAUGCAACAUUAACUUUACACUGAAAGGUCAUCUCGAAUGCCCAAAACGGGACUGAAUAAUCGUUAAGUUUUUGAGCGUUAUAUCCAUUUCUAAAAUUCGGGGAACACCUACUUACUAAAUUGUCAAAUGUGGCUUCGUGCUUCUAGGAGACCAGGAAUGUUUUCAAACAGCCGUUUAGGUUUACGUUUCACUUGUGAGUUGUGACCGUUUCGAGACUUGCGUGUCAUCUAAUGGUAUUUUUGUUAGUUCGAAUGGUGCGAGGGUUGGAGCUAAACUUGUAAAAGUUAUUCAAUGCAGGCAUGGAUUCUGAUCAAGGCUACCGGAUGCAGGUUUGGACUAGACCCCGACACAGUGCAUAUAACCGAGGCAAUGGUCUACUUAAAUGAAAAAGAAUAUUGCCUCGAUGUAGCUCCCAAAUAAGGUCGGCAAGGAUUUACCUGGUGACGGCUUUCACCCAGUUCAAGCUACUUCUUCUUAAAGUCAGCUGAAUCGAACAGAAAGGACGGAGAUGAUGAUACUUGGGUUCAAGUCCCAUCUACCGACUGAUGAACGACACCAGAGUAACACAGGUGAGUAAAACGGCAAAAUGCAACUAAUUAUCUAAUUAACAGCCCUUACGAUCGAGGGAGCUGGGGCUCUCUCGUUUCUCUCUCUAACUUUCUAUAUGCCCAAGUCGGCCGACGAAACGUACCUAACGCAAUUGCCACUGGCCUGCCCGUCUCUAAACGAUUCUACGCAGCUUCUCGGCCAGCCCGGGGAUCGCUUAAUUCGCGGCAACACGCUUUUCUCGAGACGUUCGCCUUAUCGCUUGCUUAUCGUUAUAAACACGCGCGUUCAUCUUUCAUAUGAAGUGGUACAUAAUUAUGUCAAUUUUCUUAUACUUAAAUGAAAUUCGAAAAAUGUAAAACCGCAACGCAAGCUACCAUUACAAACUCAAAUUUUUUAAGUACAAUCACAUUUCAUUCUAAUUCCUCUUAAAACUCCAAAGACAUUUACUUGCUUCGACACUUUUUCCCAUCUCUUUAUGUUUUUAAGAAGGCGCAAGCGAAAAUUAUAUGAGCAACUUGCAGUAGGACAGGAUUUAUAGAGAAAAGUACUGUAGUGAGACUAAGAAGCAAGAACUAGGAAUAAUUACACUUGCUUAUUAUACCGCUCACCUUUAUCUAGGAGUGAAGUAUCUCUAUAGUCGAUUCGCACUGAAUAUAAAUAACAAAUGCACGUUUCACCAUCUUUCCUCUAUAAACGGGUAUGCUUUAGUACCUCCCGAACGCUUUCUUUAAAAGUUAAAUAUCCAUACCUUAAGAACAACAUAAAAAAUCAGGCACGCUAGAAACGUAAAUUUUUCGCCUUUAUUGCUUUAGUCUCAUAACCGAAUUCUGUUUAUGCCCCACGUCAUAAAGAUGGUAAGCUAGCGACUCUGUUUUGCUAGAAAAAAACUGUUUUUCCGGAAAAAGAGCACGAUACGCAUAUUAGUGAUAACGAGGGUCCGUACGACGGAAAUAAAAAGCCAGGUUGAUUGCAGUCGAGAUAAAUAAACAAGUUCAUUGCCCGAUUUAAACAACAUUAGAAAUGAAACAACAUUUAAAGCUAACACACACAACUGUGUGACUCAUGUUAUUACGCCUAAAUGGACAACCUAACGUAGCUAACUACAACAAUAAACAACGAUCUGUCUUUCAUAGUAUUUGCAACUUAAAUUUCUCUUAAUGUGUUAAAACAAAACAACACCCUAUUCUGGAGCUCAGCAACUUAUACGUACCCAACGAAUUGAAAUCAAUUACUAGAGGGGGAGAUUUACGUUAAUUUAUGCAAAAUAAGUAACAGUCGAACCAUUUAAUAAUCAUUAUGUAUAGUUGUAAUGCCUGUUGUAGAUUUAUCUUAUUAAUUAAGUAGAGUACAACAUUGCUAUAGUGAAAUUAAGAAAGACAUUUGUUACCGUGAAUAUAACACGACGAUAAUAAAUGUUUAUUUGAAUGGUUAGAAUUUAGCGUCGUGUCAUAAUAGAUAUCUGAACUGUAGGUGCACGGG